AGAGUUUGAUCCUGGCUCAGAACGAACGCUGGCGGCAGGCUUAACACAUGCAAGUUGAACGGGAUUUGUAUGGUGCUUGCACCAUGUAAUGAGAGUAGCGCACUGGUGAGUAACACGUGGGAACAUACCUUGAAGUGGGGGACAACAGUUGGAAACGACUGCUAAUACCGCAUAAUCCCUGAGGGGGAAAGAUUUAUCGCUUUAAGAUUGGCCCGCGGAAGAUUAGGUAGUUGGUGGGGUAAAGGCCUACCAAGCCGACGAUCUAUAGCUGGUCUGAGAGGACGAACAGCCACAUUGGAACUGAGACACGGUCCAGACUCCUACGGGAGGCAGCAGUGAGGAAUAUUGGGCAAUGGAGGAAACUCUGACCCAGCCAUGCCGCGUGAGUGAAGAAGGUUUUCGAAUUGUAAAGCUCUUUCGGAUGGGACGAUGAUGACGGUACCAUCUAAAGAAGCCCCGGCAAACUUCGUGCCAGCAGCCGCGGUAAUACGAAGGGGGCAAGCGUUGUUCGGAAUUACUGGGCGUAAAGGGUGUGUAGGCGGAUUUGUAAGAUAGUGGUGAAAUACCUGAGCUCAACUUAGGAAUUGCCAUUAUAACUAUAGAUCUGGAGUGACAGAGAGGAUAUUGGAAUACCCAGUGUAGAGGUGAAAUUCGUAGAUAUUGGGUAGAACACCAGUGGCGAAGGCGACUAUCUGGCUGUAUAUUGACGCUGAGGCUCGAAAGCAUGGGGAUCAAACAGGAUUAGAUACCCUGGUAGUCCAUGCUGUAAACGAU
rnacentral:rRNA from 1 species